rnacentral:lncRNA from 1 species
ACAGGGUCUAGCUAUGUCUCCCAGGUUGAUCUUGAACUCCUGGGCUUAAGGGAUCCUCCGGCGGCGUUGGCCUCCUGAAGUGCUGGGAUUACACACUUGAGCUACCACACCCGGCCCCUAUGUAGAUUUUGAUUCAAGUUUGGAAAAAGGUUUAAAAAACAAGAACAAAAGGCAUUAUGGGAAAAAAAAAUCAUGUAGUGGCAAUAUUCGGAGACUUUAAGGAACACAGUAAAUGAUGACAUGAUCCUCUUUCUAAGAAAUGUAAGUUUAGCUUUCACAGCAGGGAGAGGAACACUUAGCCACUCUGUGAGUUUUGAUACCUUUGACUUCCCAUGGAAGAUCUCUAACUUCUCUAGGGGAAAAUAAAUCAAUAAAAACAAAAACUCUCUUUUGGGGGAAUUGGGAGUUCCAUGGCCUUGAAAAAUAGUAGGUGUUCAUUAAAUAUGUCUUGAAUGAAAGUCACUUCUGAGGCUGAUCUGAGAUGUUCAAAAAUUCUAUGGUGAGCCUAGAAUUUACUUGACUUUUUGUUGUGCUUCACAAGGAACUGGACUAAGUAGGUUUUCCAGGGUUCCUUAGAACCAGGGCUGAAACCAUGCCAGACCAGAUCCACUGGGCCCACAGUCCAGAAGGUGGGGCCCUGGCAUUUUCCUGGAGCAUUCAGCUCUUUGUCAAACACAGGCUUCCAGCCACCCUUAAGCCAUCCAGGGCUCUCAGUCAAAUGCUCUGCCACUGUCUCUUUGGGCACGAGAAUUUCCACAGCUUUUGAUCGCUGGAGAGGAAAACGUUUUUUGGUUUUAGUCUGAAACAAUCCUUAUUUAGGGAUCCUUAUUUAGGCAUAUCUCUCAAAUAUUUGGUUGCAUGCUGUCUUUCUGGGGAGCAAGGCUGCAGCCUUGAGAAUGCCCCUCUCUGAAUGUAGGCUUCUUUACUAAUUAGAAA